rnacentral:rRNA from 1 species
AGUGAACGCUGGCGGUAGGCCUAACACAUGCAAGUCGAACGGCAGCACAGAGGAGCUUGCUCCUUGGGUGGCGAGUGGCGGACGGGUGAGGAAUACAUCGGAAUCUACUCUGUCGUGGGGGAUAACGUAGGGAAACUUACGCUAAUACCGCAUACGACCUACGGGUGAAAGCAGGGGAUCUUCGGACCUUGCGCGAUUGAAUGCGCCGAUGUCGGAUGAGCUAGUUGGCGGGGUAAAGGCCCACCAAGGCGACGAUCCGUAGCGGGUCUGAGAGGAUGAGCAGCCACACUGGAACUGAGACAAGGUCCAGACUCCUACGGGAGGCAGCAGUGGGGAAUAUUGGACAAUGGGCGCAAGCCUGAUCCAGCCAUACCGCGUGGGUGAAGAAGGCCUUCGGGUUGUAAAGCCCUUUUGUUGGGAAAGAAAUCCAUCUGGUUAAUACCCGGGUGGGAUGACGGUACCCAAAGAAUAAGCACCGGCUAACUUCGUGCCAGCCGCCGCCGUAA